GGUUCGAAUCCUGCCGACUACGC
rnacentral:miRNA from 1 species